rnacentral:lncRNA from 1 species
GCUGAAGAAAAUCACAUCAUAUUCCAUUUCCAUGUGUUCCAGGCCAGUGAUUCUAUGAGCUCUCACCCUGUAAAUACAGAUGCAGAGGUGGACUGAUGGCCACAAGGCUAAAACCAGCAGCUGUCCAGGUUCUUGGCCUUUCAUUACAGUUAACAAUUAAGUGAAGACAAUCAUGCAAAAAGAAAAAAAAUUCCCUGCAAAGCAAUGUGACACACAGACUGAAU